UUAUAUUUUAGUGUAUGAUGCACGAUAGUUUUUGAAAUUGUAAGAUAUAGUUUAAUUCUAUAAAAUAUAA
rnacentral:tRNA from 4 species